GCCUACGGGGCGCAGCAGUGGGGGAUAUUGCACAAUGGGGGAAACCCUGAUGCAGCGACGCCGCGUGAGUGAAGAAGUAUUUCGGUACGUAAAGCUCUAUCAGCAGGGAAGAAUAAUGACGGUACCUGACUAAGAAGCCCCGGCUAACUACGUGCCAGCAGCCGCGGUAAUACGUAGGGGGCAAGCGUUAUCCGGAUUUACUGGGUGUAAAGGGAGCGCAGACGGCAGCGCAAGUCUGGAGUGAAAGCCCGGGGCCCAACCCCGGAACUGCUCUGGAAACUGUGCGGCUAGAGUACUGGAGGGGG
rnacentral:rRNA from 1 species